AUACGACCGCAAAAAAAUUUUGCGGUCGUAUAUUGGUAUGACGUUUUCGUCGUCCGAAGACACAUUGGUUUUCGCACUAACUUAAGUUUAAGUGAAUGGAUCUCUAUGAAAUUUUACCAUAAGGUUCAAUACCACAAAAGGAAGGUGGGGAUUGAUUUUGGGGGUUAUGGUACCAACAGUUAAGGAAUUAGGGGCCAAAAAUAAGCAUUUUUGUAACUUCCAGACAUAACUUGUGUGUUAGUGUAUGGAUCUCUCUGACAUUGUACCACAAGGUUCCAUAUCACAAAGGGAAUGCUGGGAUUGAUUUUGGGGGUAAUUGCCUCCAAAUUUUAAGAA